GAUGAACGCUGGCGGCGUGCCUAAUACAUGCAAGUCGAGCGAACAGAUAAGGAGCUUGCUCCUUUGACGUUAGCGGCGGACGGGUGAGUAACACGUGGGUAACCUACCUAUAAGACUGGAAUAACUCCGGGAAACCGGGGCUAAUGCCGGAUAACAUUUAGAACCGCAUGGUUCUAAAGUGAAAGAUGGUUUUGCUGUCACUAAUAGAUGGACCCGCGCCGUAUUAGCUAGUUGGUAAGGUAACGGCUUACCAAGGCAACGAUACGUAGCCGACCUGAGAGGGUGAUCGGCCACACUGGAACUGAGACACGGUCCAGACUCCUACGGGAGGCAGCAGUAGGGAAUCUUCCGCAAUGGGCGAAAGCCUGACGGAGCAACGCCGCGUGAGUGAUGAAGGUCUUCGGAUCGUAAAACUCUGUUAUUAGGGAAGAACAAAUGUGUAAGUAACUGUGCACGUCUUGACGGUACCUAAUCAGAAAGCCACGGCUAACUACGUG
rnacentral:rRNA from 1 species